rnacentral:rRNA from 1 species
GGGUUGUGAGGUUAAGCGACUAAGCGUACACGGUGGAUGCCCUGGCAGUCAGAGGCGAUGAAGGGCGUGCUAAUCUGCGAUAAGCGCCGGUAAGGUGAUAUGAACCGUUAUAACCGGCGAUACCCGAAUGGGGAAACCCAGUGUGAUUCGUCACACUAUCAUUAACUGAAUCCAUAGGUUAAUGAGGCGAACCGGGGGAACUGAAACAUCUAAGUACCCCGAGGAAAAGAAAUCAACCGAGAUUCCCCCAGUAGCGGCGAGCGAACGGGGAGGAGCCCAGAGCCUGAAUCAGCAUGUGUGUUAGUGGAAGCGUCUGGAAAGGCGCGCGAUACAGGGUGACAGCCCCGUACACAAAAGCGCAUAUGCUGUGAGCUCGAUGAGUAGGGCGGGACACGUGGUAUCCUGUCUGAAUAUGGGGGGACCAUCCUCCAAGGCUAAAUACUCCUGACUGACCGAUAGUGAACCAGUACCGUGAGGGAAAGGCGAAAAGAACCCCGGCGAGG